UACGUAGGGUGCAAGCGUUGUCCGGAAUUAUUGGGCGUAAAGAGCUCGUAGGCGGUCUGUCGCGUCGGCUGUGAAAACUCGGGGCUCAACUCCGAGCUUGCAGUCGAUACGGGCAGGCUAGAGUCGGCAGGGGAGACUGGAAUUCCUGGUGUAGCGGUGAAAUGCGCAGAUAUCAGGAGGAACACCGGUGGCGAAGGCGGGUCUCUGGGCCGAUACUGACGCUGAGGAGCGAAAGCGUGGGGAGCGAACAGG
rnacentral:rRNA from 1 species